rnacentral:rRNA from 1 species
GAUGAACGCUGACAGAAUGCUUAACACAUGCAAGUCUUUGGCGAAGCUGUGCUCGCCCAGCCUAGCCAAGGCGGACGGGUGAGUAACGCGUAAGGAACUUGCCCUGCAGUCAGGGAUAACAGACGGAAACGACUGAUAAGACCUGGUAAAGUCAGGCGGACUCAUGUCCAGCCUGAUGAAAAGAGAUGCUGCAGGAGAGCCUUGCGUCCUAUUAGCUUGUUGGUGGGGUAACGGCCCACCAAGGCGAUGAUAGGUAGCCGGCCUGAGAGGGUGGACGGCCACAAGGGGAAUGAGAGACGGCCCUUACCCCUACGGGAGGCAGCAGUGGGGAAUAGUGGACAAGUGGGGCAACACUGAUCAAGCAAUUCUGUGUGCACGAUGAAGGUUUUCGGAUUGUAAAGUGCUUUCAGCAGGAAAGAAAAAAAUGACGGUACCUGCAGAAGAAGCGACGGCUAAAUACGUG